GGCUUGCGAGUGCGGUUUUAAGGGCUUGGCGGGAACGUGCGUGAGGCUGCAGCUUCUUGCUCGGGAUGAGAAAAUUAUGGCUCAGAAAGGCACAGCUUGUCUGCAUUUAAACAGCUAGUUGACAGAUUGGCUGGGACUUCGUUUUUGUCAUCAAAGUCAGUGCUCUUUAAGAAUGGGACAUUCUGAAUAGGACAUUGGAGAAGAAGAUGAGAAAAGUAUCUCGCAACCCACUGAAUACAGCCAUUACCACUGAGAACUUCGUCUAAUCCAUCCGAUUUUCUGAACUCCUCUGCUUCUUAUGCUGCUAGUCUUCAAGAGAUCCAUUCAUUGUAAGUUCCAAAGACUUUA